UUCACCGUCUUGAAACAUUGUCUAUCAAACGGCCUACGCUGUCACAUUUGUUAGUUCGUGAUCAGCGUUGGCCGAGAUGGAUUCGUACUAAAUGAAAUUUAUAGCAUCUGUUUUAAUAAACACUUUUAUUGGAAAAUGGUGUUAUAAAUUCAGAAAUAACAUCCCGGUCAAUUGCGAAACGCAACAUUAUAAAUUUCAUUUACGUAAACUAGAAUGACGGUGGCAAACAAAAGACUAAGCUGGCAUGGAGCAGUCAGCUACAGCUGCGAAACAAUAGCUACCGACGGUAGCCCUUGCCAUCGUGAUUCCGUCACUACCAUGCAUUGUAAAGCGAAGGUGAAAUCUUCAACGGGAUGUAGACGUUCAACAAGGGUGGAAGAAACUUCAUCGUUGCGAGAGGUCAGCUGGAGGCAACUAUAGCUGCUUAGACUAUCGAAAACGAACUGGGUGUUCGGCAAGGGAGAGCUGAAUAGUAACAGCAACUAAAGAAUACGAAAGUUUAGCAACUUUGAUAACCACAGAAGUAUCAAGUUAUUCAAACGCGAAGACGCAACAAUUGC